rnacentral:rRNA from 1 species
AACCUGCGCGGGGUUAAGGA